CGGUAAUACGAAGGGGGCUAGCGUUGUUCGGAAUCACUGGGCGUAAAGCGUGCGUAGGCGGCUUAACAAGUCAGGGGUGAAAUCCCAGAGCUUAACUCUGGAACUGCCUUUGAAACUGUCAAGCUAGAGUAUGAUAGGGGAUGGCGGAAUUCCUAAUGUAGAGGUGAAAUUCGUAGAUAUUAGGAGGAACACCGGUGGCGAAGGCGGCCAUCUGGAUCAUAACUGACGCUCUGGCACGAAAGCGUGGGUAUCAAACAGGAUUAGAUACCCUGGUAGUCCACGCUGUAAACGAUGGAUGCUAGCCGUUGGGACCUUCGGUCUCAGUGGCGCAGCUAACGCGUUAAGCAUCCCGCCUGGGGAGUACGGUCGCAAGAUUAAAACUCAAAGGAAUUGACGGGGACCCGCACAAGCGGUGGAGCAUGUGGUUUAAUUCGAGGCAACGCGAAGAACCUUACCAGGCCUUGACAUGGGGAACAUAGGAUACAGAGAUGUAUCCGUCGGUUCGGCCGGUUCCCACACAGGUGCUGCAUGGCUGUCGUCAGCUCGUGUCGUGAGAUGUUGGGUUAAGUCCCGCAACGAGCGCAACCCUCAUUCUUAGUUGCCAUCAGGUAAUGCUGGGAACUCUAAGAAAACUGCCGGUGAUAAGCCGGA
rnacentral:rRNA from 1 species